rnacentral:rRNA from 2 species
CACAUGCAAGUCGAACGGUAACAGGAAGCAGCUUGCUGUUUCGCUGACGAGUGGCGGACGGGUGAGUAAUGUCUGGGAAACUGCCUGAUGGAGGGGGAUAACUACUGGAAACGGUAGCUAAUACCGCAUAACGUCGCAAGACCAAAGAGGGGGACCUUCGGGCCUCUUGCCAUCGGAUGUGCCCAGAUGGGAUUAGCUAGUAGGUGGGGUAACGGCUCACCUAGGCGACGAUCCCUAGCUGGUCUGAGAGGAUGACCAGCCACACUGGAACUGAGACACGGUCCAGACUCCUACGGGAGGCAGCAGUGGGGAAUAUUGCACAAUGGGCGCAAGCCUGAUGCAGCCAUGCCGCGUGUAUGAAGAAGGCCUUCGGGUUGUAAAGUACUUUCAGCGGGGAGGAAGGGAGUAAAGUUAAUACCUUUGCUCAUUGACGUUACCCGCAGAAGAAGCACCGGCUAACUCCGUGCCAGCAGCCGCGGUAAUACGGAGGGUGCAAGCGUUAAUCGGAAUUACUGGGCGUAAAGCGCACGCAGGCGGUUUGUUAAGUCAGAUGUGAAAUCCCCGGGCUCAACCUGGGAACUGCAUCUGAUACUGGCAAGCUUGAGUCUCGUAGAGGGGGGUAGAAUUCCAGGUGUAGCGGUGAAAUGCGUAGAGAUCUGGAGGAAUACCGGUGGCGAAGGCGGCCCCCUGGACGAAGACUGACGCUCAGGUGCGAAAGCGUGGGGAGCAAACAGGAUU